AUCACAAAAUCUAUCUAUAGUGACUAAAUAAGUAUAUAUAAACCAUUAGGCAUUAAAACGGUCCUUUCCAUUUUAUUUUCUAAACAGGAAGCUGCUCAGAAAGGAUUGCCUGUAUGUCGCCAUCUAUUUCUUCAUUAUCCAAAUGAUGAACGUGUGCAAAAUUUGAGUUAUCAGCAGUUCUUGGUUGGUUCUGAGUUCCUAGUGGUGCCUGUUCUUGACAAAGGAAAGAAAAAAGUUAAAGCAUAUUUUCCAUUGGGGGAGAGUAGCAGUUGGGUUCAUAUCUGGACAGGAAAAGUAUUUUCCAAAGAAGGAAGUGAAGAAUGGGUAGAAGCUCCAAUAGGAUAUCCUGCUGUAUUUCUUAAAGUUGGCUCUCUCAUUGGAGAAACCUUUUUGAAUAACCUAAGAAGUUUAGGCAUUCUUUAAUAAAGCAUUCAUGGAAGAUGGAUGAAUCUUAGAUAUGUAACAUAGCAUGUAAGUUACUUAUCAAUUCAUGCCGCUGAAUUAAUUCAGUUGUGUAUUUUGUAUCAUUGCAAUCAAAGCUAGUGUAAAGAAAUAGUUGAAAGGAUCUGAAUCACUUAUAUUACACUCAUUAAGCAUCAUAAUAUAGAACAUUAUGUAUUAGUACAACUUCCUCAUUCAUUUCCAGCAAAUAGCUCUACAAAUGAAAUAAAACAUUAGGAAAUUGACAGAUAAGUGCUGCAUGGGAAACAGUUGUCUACUUCAUCCUGCAUAACUUUUUUUUAUCUAAAUAAAUAACAUAAUUCACAAAUAUGCAAACGGUCAACCACACAAACCUUAGUGGCAAAUUGAGCGGUUCGUGGUUUAUGUUUAGUUUGAGUUUAUUAAAGAGAACAACGAGAAAAAUUCCCAAGCCUCGUUCAAUGAUAAUUUUUCCUACAACAUCUUGAUCAGAGAAUGUAUAGAACACUUCUCUCCUCAAAAGCUAGAUAUACGAAAUGACAGAUUCUACUUUAAAUAGAAGUUUCAUGUCUUAUACUUACACAUUUUUUGUUCAUGCUCAUAUCCCUGAAAACUUAUUUGAGCCAAAUAACGUCGUGUAAUUCGUCUAGCCGCCUUGUUAUUGUAGUUGUUGCUCAUGUUCCUGCAUCUCUUCCACCUUUACAGCAUAUGGUUAAGAGAAAAAAGAAGAGAUGGCAACCAUGUUCUACAUAACACACAAACAACAAGAAUAAUUUGAAGCGUAGUUGGAAGGAAGACGUCUGUCCCCACAACCUACUUCCUCCUGACCUCAUAUCUGCGCAGCUUUCCCAAUGAGAUUAUAUUGUUUCCUACAUAGUUUCUGCACAACUGCGAUUCAAAUUCAGGCACAUAUAUAAAUAUGCUUCUUGCACAUGACUACAUGAGCCAGGAACAUUUUUGGUUGGAAAUACUUGUUAUGUCUAUUCUAUAAGAACUCAGAGAAAUAAAAGUUCUAGAGUUUAUCAUGACCCUCUCAUGUUAGCAUUUUUCUGGGACAAUGAGAAAGCAUUGAUUUCUACGUAGACAACCAGAACCUGAGCAUUCUAUCAUUCGCAACCAGUUAUAAUAGCUGCUAAACAAGAAAACAAAGCUUGGAAGAAACUUAAUGAGACCUAAGUCAAGUUUGACAUCUCAAUCUCUGAAAACUUUAGUGGGUGCUAAAUGUUGAACAUUUCAAAGUAAAGUACUAAAAUCCCAUCUUCUGUAGCAAGCAAUGAAUGUUAGGCUUCUUGAUGACACUACCACCACAUCCUUCUUAAGCAUUGAAAAUCCAUCCUGAUCAGGUUGAAUUUCAUGUCAGAACAUGAAUCGUUCUCAAUUUACAAAAUUUACAUACUAUUUCUCGUAGACAACAGCAUACUUAAAAAAAUCAUCACAGACAACUUUCCCAACGAUGAUGAAAACUAUCAAAACAACUUGCUUUUUAUGUUGGAUGGACUUGUUAUGUCAUCAAAUAAACAAGUUUCAACACAUCCACCACUCAUUGAUCAAGAGUGAUUGAAUACCCAGGAACUUAGAAGAGACAAUAUCAUGACAACAGUGCACAAAACUUCUACCAAGUUAAUCACAACAAACUAAUAAAACAUGUUAUUCAUCAUUCACUGAAAAAAGGAUGCAACCCCAUUUUACAUCACAUGCAUAAACCUUCAAUUUUCACAAAUGGUUGUAUGCGCGCGCGAACUUACAAAUGAGUUUCCUCUCAGUUCCACGAGGAAGCAAAAGAAUUGUUUGGUCUCUCAACAUUCAUGAGUUAAGGUUCCUCUUAUUGAAUAAGGUUGUUAAUAUCGAAUACUGUAGUGGCAUAUUCUCUUAAACUCUCUUUGGUGCCAUGUCAGAAAUAUUUUUGCUUGGUUUGAUGCCAGUUUAUGGCA
rnacentral:lncRNA from 1 species